rnacentral:rRNA from 1 species
UACGAAGGGGGCUAGCGUUGCUCGGAAUCACUGGGCGUAAAGCGCACGUAGGCGGCUUUUUAAGUCAGAGGUGAAAUCCUGGAGCUCAACUCCAGAACUGCCUUUGAUACUGAGAAGCUUGAGUCCGGGAGAGGUGAGUGGAACUGCGAGUGUAGAGGUGAAAUUCGUAGAUAUUCGCAAGAACACCAGUGGCGAAGGCGGCUCACUGGCCCGGUACUGACGCUGAGGUGCGAAAGCUAGGGUAGCAAACGGG